UACAGAGGUCUCCAGCGUUGUUCGGAUUCAUUGGGCGUAAAGGGCGCGUAGGCGGCGGGGUAAGUCGGGUGUGAAAUCUCAGAGCUCAACUCUGAAAUGGCACUUGAUACUGCUCUGCUAGAGGACUGGAGAGGAGAUUGGAAUUCACGGUGUAGCAGUGAAAUGCGUAGAUAUCGUGAGGAAGACCGGUGGCGAAGGCGGAUCUCUGGACAGUUCCUGACGCUGAGGCGCGAAGGCCAGGGGAGCAAACGGG
rnacentral:rRNA from 1 species